rnacentral:rRNA from 1 species
AUUGAACGCUAGCGGGAUGCCUUACACAUGCAAGUCGAACGGAGUGGCGAACGGGUGAGUAAUGUAUCGGAACGUGCCCCUUCGCGGGGGAUAACUACGAGAAAGCGUAGCUAAUACCGCAUACUAUUGGAAUGGCCGAUAUCGGAUUGGCUAUUUGGUGGGGUAACGGCUCACCAAGGCGACGAUCCGUAGCCGGUUUGAGAGGACGACCAGCCACACUGGAACUGAGACACGGCCCAGACUCCUACGGGAGGCAGCAGUAGGGAAUAUUCGGCAAUGGACGGAAGUCUGACCGAGCAAUGCCGCGUGAGUGAAGAAGGUUUUCGGGUUGUAAAGUACUUUCAGCGAGGAGGCGUUACUCGCAGAAGAAGCACCGGCUAACUCCGUGCCAGCAGCCGCGGUAAUAC